rnacentral:ncRNA from 1 species
UCCGGAUAAACUUGUAUCCAUCCAAGAGAAUGGGGCAAGUCACUUUACGGAAUUAGAUUAAGCAACACAUUUUGGGAUUGCCAAAGGCUUACAUACAAGCGAAAUUCCAAAGUGAAAGGAUAACCGUAUGUCCUUUAGCAUAUUUUAUGUUAUAAAAAUAAUCUUGAACAGCUUUAGUUAAGUUUUCAAGUUACGGUAUG